AGAGUUUGAUCAUGGCUCAGAGCGAACGCUGGCGGCAGGCCUAACACAUGCAAGUCGAACGAGCCCUUCGGGGUUAGUGGCGGACGGGUGAGUAACACGUGGGAACGUGCCCUUUGGUUCGGAAUAACACAGGGAAACUUGUGCUAAUACCGGAUGAGCCCUACGGGGGAAAGAUUUAUCGCCGAAGGAGCGGCCCGCGUCGGAUUAGCUAGUUGGUGGGGUAAAGGCCCACCAAGGCUACGAUCCGUAGCUGGUCUGAGAGGAUGAUCAGCCACACUGGGACUGAGACACGGCCCAGACUCCUACGGGAGGCAGCAGUGGGGAAUCUUGCGCAAUGGGCGAAAGCCUGACGCAGCCAUGCCGCGUGGAUGAUGAAGGUCUUAGGAUUGUAAAAUCCUUUCACCGGGGACGAUAAUGACGGUACCCGGAGAAGAAGCCCCGGCUAACUUCGUGCCAGCAGCCGCGGUAAUACGAAGGGGGCUAGCGUUGCUCGGAAUUACUGGGCGUAAAGGGCGCGUAGGCGGGUCGUCAAGUUGGGGGUGAAAGCCCGGGGCUCAACCUCGGAAUUGCCUUCAAAACUGACGACCUAGAGUUUGGGAGAGGUGUGUGGAACUCCGAGUGUAGAGGUGAAAUUCGUAGAUAUUCGGAAGAACACCAGUGGCGAAGGCGACACACUGGCCCAAUACUGACGCUGAGGCGCGAAAGCGUGGGGAGCAAACAGGAUUAGAUACCCUGGUAGUCCACGCCGUAAACGAUGAGUGCUAGUUGUCGGCAUGCAUGCAUGUCGGUGACGCAGCUAACGCAUUAAGCAUUCCGCCUGGGGAGUACGGUCGCAAGAUUAAAACUCAAAGGAAUUGACGG
rnacentral:rRNA from 1 species